CCGGCGGAUGUUGCUUAUAGGACGCCGCCGGCACCUUAUGAGCAAUCAAAGUCUACGGGUUCCGGGGGGAGUAUGGUCGCGCGGCUGAAACUUAAAGGAAUUGACGGAAGGGCACCACCAGGCGUGGAGCCUGCGGCUUAAUUUGACUCAACACGGGGAAACUUACCAGGUCCAGACAUAGCAAGGAUUGACAGACUGAGAGCUCUUUCUUGAUUCUAUCACUGGUGGUGCAUGGCCGUUCUUAGUU
rnacentral:ncRNA from 1 species